UACGUAGGGGGCAAGCGUUGUCCGGAAUUAUUGGGCGUAAAGAGCGCGUAGGCGGUCCGAUAAGUCGGCUGUGAAAGUCAGGGGCUCAACCCUUGAAAGCCGGCCGAUACUGUCGGACUAGAGUCCGGAAGAGGCAAGUGGAAUUCCCGGUGUAGCGGUGAAAUGCGCAGAUAUCGGGAGGAACACCAAUGGCGAAGGCAGCUUGCUGGGACGGUACUGACGCUGAGGAGCGAAAGUGUGGGGAGCGAACAGG
rnacentral:rRNA from 1 species